rnacentral:tRNA from 1 species
GUAAACCAGUAAUGAAAAAAACCUAUUUUCUCAGGACA